GGUGGCUCAGUGGUAGAGUGCUUGCCUUGCAUGCAUGAGGAGGCUCUGGGUUCGAUUCCUCAGCACCA
rnacentral:tRNA from 1 species